AAAGCUCUCAAAAUGUAGGAAAAGAAAGAUUACAAAAGUAUUCUACUCUUGAAAAACAUGAAAAUAAAUUGAUCUUCUUAUUCGUAAGGAAGAAAGACACUUAUUUCAGGUGUUUUUAUGUUAUUUAUAGUACUACUAUCAGCUUGCAGUUACCGGGCAACUAGCUUCACGGGGAACGCUGAAGUCGCGCUUUUAUUAGUCGCGGGAAUUACUCCCGCAUUCCUCGUCCCCAUUCUCAUCCGUUUCCGUUCAAGGGUUCUUUCUUUUUUUAGCGGCUCUCGGUGU
rnacentral:lncRNA from 1 species